GUCAGGAUGGCCGAGUGGUUAAGGCGUUGGACUUGAAUUCCUCCGGGAGUCAUGUUAUCCAAUGGGUUCGCCCGCGCAGGUUCGAACCCUGUUCCUGACG